GAUGAACGCUAGCGACAGGCUUAACACAUGCAAGUCGAGGGGCAGCACAGGUAGCAAUACCGGGUGGCGACCGGCGCACGGGUGAGUAACGCGUAUGCAACUUACCUAUCAGAGGGGGAUAACCCGGCGAAAGUCGGACUAAUACCGCAUGAAGCAGGGGUCCCGCAUGGGGAUAUUUGCUAAAGAUUCAUCGCUGAUAGAUAGGCAUGCGUUCCAUUAGGCAGUUGGCGGGGUAACGGCCCACCAAACCGACGAUGGAUAGGGGUUCUGAGAGGAAGGUCCCCCACAUUGGUACUGAGACACGGACCAAGCUCCUACGGGAGGCAGCAGUGAUGAAUAUUGGUCAAUGGCCGAGAGGCUGAACCAGCCAAGUCGCGUGAGGUAUGAAGGUUCUAUGGAUCGUAAACCUCUUUUAUAAGGGAAUAAAGUGCGGGACGUGUCCCGUUUUGUAUGUACCUUAUGAAUAAGGAUCGGCUAACUCCGUG
rnacentral:rRNA from 1 species